CAAAUUACCAGGAUUUUAAAUGCGUAAACUAUGCUUAGAUUCUUUUGUUUUUGUAUUUACCAGAGACUUCACAUGAUACGGUUUCUUCUUUACUGUCUUUCAUGUCGCGACCAUU